rnacentral:rRNA from 1 species
CAUAGGUUAAUGAGGCGAACCGGGGGAACUGAAACAUCUAAGUACCCCGAGGAAAAGAAAUCAACCGAGAUUCCCCCAGUAGCGGCGAGCGAACGGGGAGGAGCCCAGAGCCUGAAUCAGUGUGUGUGUUAGUGGAAGCGUCUGGAAAGGCGCGCGAUACAGGGUGACAGCCCCGUACACAAAAAUGCACAUACUGUGAGCUCGAUGAGUAGGGCGGGACACGUGGUAUCCUGUCUGAAUAUGGGGGGACCAUCCUCCAAGGCUAAAUACUCCUGACUGACCGAUAGUGAACCAGUACCGUGAGGGAAAGGCGAAAAGAACCCCGGCGAGGGGAGUGAAAAAGAACCUGAAACCGUGUACGUACAAGCAGUGGGAGCCUCUUAAUGGGGUGACUGCGUACCUUUUGUAUAAUGGGUCAGCGACUUAUAUUCUGUAGCAAGGUUAACCGAAUAGGGGAGCCGAAGGGAAACCGAGUCUUAACUGGGCGUUAAGUUGCAGGGUAUAGACCCGAAACCCGGUGAUCUAGCCAUGGGCAGGUUGAAGGUUGGGUAACACUAACUGGAGGACCGAACCGACUAAUGUUGAAAAAUUAGCGGAUGACUUGUGGCUGGGGGUGAAAGGCCAAUCAAACCGGGAGAUAGCUGGUUCUCCCCGAAAGCUAUUUAGGUAGCGCCUCGUGAAUUCAUCUCCGGGGGUAGAGCACUGUUUCGGCAAGGGGGUCAUCCCGACUUACCAACCCGAUGCAAACUGCGAAUACCGGAGAAUGUUAUCACGGGAGACACACGGCGGGUGCUAACGUCCGUCGUGAAGAGGGAAACAACCCAGACCGCCAGCUAAGGUCCCAAAGUCAUGGUUAAGUGGGAAACGAUGUGGGAAGGCCCAGACAGCCAGGAUGUUGGCUUAGAAGCAGCCAUCAUUUAAAGAAAGCG